rnacentral:lncRNA from 10 species
UCUCCGCGGGAUCGUCGCCAUGGUCCUGCGAUCCUAGGAGUCGGGCAAGGCCGAACCUGCCUGAAGAAACCUCAAGCGGAGAUUCAAGGAAGCACCACGUGAUCCCUAAGGAUCCCAAAGAUGCGUCGGGCAUGCAUGGGCGGUGUGAGGGUGCGUCUCCCUGACAGGUGUCCCCGCUGGGAUUUCGAGGGCUCACCUGAAACUUCAUGUACCAUUGCACUUCCUGAGAAGCUGUCCCCAAUCCCAGGCUCCUAGCAAUGCUGUUCCAGUAAUCUCUCUUCUGUAAGACAGCCACUCCACCCACUGCAGUCUACAAGGAAAGCCUCCAUAGCUGUGAUUAUUCAGUAAGAACAGUCUCAGGAAAACAGGACCUUCAACAGAGAUAAGAGAAUUAAAAUAUGCAGACUAACAACUCUGGGAAUGGGCUGACCAGC